rnacentral:rRNA from 1 species
CCGCGGCGGCUGGCUUAACACAUGCAAGUCGCACGAGAACGCCCGGGCUUUGCCGGGGCAAGUACAGUGGCGGACGGGUGCGUAACGCGUAGAUAACCUGCCCUCAGGCGCGGGACAAUCGCGGGAAACCGCGGCUAAUACCGCACGACGUCCAGGCCCCGCAUGGGGGCUGGAUGAAACCUUGGUUUUGCCGAGGGCCUUUGGAUGGGUCUGCGUCGGAUUAGCUUGUUGGUGAGGUAACGGCUCACCAAGGUAACGAUCCGUAGCUGGUCUGAGAGGACGAUCAGUCACACUGGGACUGAGACACGGCCCAGACUCCUACGGGAGGCAGCAGUGGGGAAUCUUGCACAAUGGGGUCACCCCUGAUGCAGCCAUGCCGCGUGGAGGAAGACACCCCUAUGGGGCGUAAACUCCUUUUCUGAGAGAAGAACCCCCUGUAGGUUCAGGGUGUGACGGUAUCUCAGGAAUAAGCACCGGCUAACUCCGUGCCAGCAGCCGCGGU